rnacentral:rRNA from 1 species
GAACGCUAGCGGGAGGCCUAACACAUGCAAGCCGAGCGGUAGAGAUCUUUCGGGAUCUUGAGAGCGGCGUACGGGUGCGGAACACGUGUGCAACCUGCCUUUAUCUGGGGGAUAGCCCUUCGAAAGGAAGAUUAAUACCCCAUAAUAUGUUGGAUGGCAUCAUUCGACAUUGAAAACUCCGGUGGAUAGAGAUGGGCACGCGCAAGAUUAGAUAGUUGGUGAGGUAACGGCUCACCAAGUCUGCGAUCUUUAGGGGGCCUGAGAGGGUGAUCCCCCACACUGGUACUGAGACACGGACCAGACUCCUACGGGAGGCAGCAGUGAGGAAUAUUGGACAAUGGGUGAGAGCCUGAUCCAGCCAUCCCGCGUGAAGGACGACGGCCCUAUGGGUUGUAAACUUCUUUUGUAUAGGGAUAAACCUACUCUCGUGAGAGUAGCUGAAGGUACUAUACGAAUAAGCACCGGCUAACUCCGUGCCAGCAGCCGCGGUAAUACGGAGGGUGCAAGCGUUAUCCGGAUUUAUUGGGUUUAAAGGGUCCGUAGGCGGAUCUGUAAGUCAGUGGUGAAAUCUCACAGCUUAACUGUGAAACUGCCAUUGAUACUGCAGGUCUUGAGUGUUGUUGAAGUAGCUGGAAUAAGUAGUGUAGCGGUGAAAUGCAUAGAUAUUACUUAGAACACCAAUUGCGAAGGCAGGUUACUAAGCAACAACUGACGCUGAUGGACGAAAGCGUGGGGAGCGAACAGGAUUAGAUACCCUGGUAGUCCACGCCGUAAACGAUGCUAACUCGUUUUUGGGCUUUCGGGUUCAGAGACUAAGCGAAAGUGAUAAGUUAGCCACCUGGGGAGUACGAACGCAAGUUG